rnacentral:lncRNA from 1 species
UCUCUUCUCACUGAAUUGAUCAAACUGGGGCUAACUUACUUGCUUGGUUAUUACAUGUGGAAAACUUACAUAACAUCAAGAGUCUGAGUCAUUGCAGGCUUCUCAGGGAAUUAAAUGAAUGUGUGCUUGAUGGAUCUGAUGCCAGUUUUGCAGCUUCCCUCACACUGAACGAGGCGGUAGUCUGCCCUUGCCUACACUGUCUCUCUGAAAGGUAUUGGUUCCAGUGUUAGAGAUGGUCUGCUGGAAAAGGACUUACAAUUAGGGGCGAACCCAGACAGGGUACCAAAGGACAGAGAAUACAGUGGGAGAACAAAGAAGUAUGUUGGACAGUGAGUUCUGUCAAUGGAUUACUGAAAGCAAUUUUGCAACAUAGGGAUCAAAGACUGCAAAUUGUUUCUGCUUUAUUAAUAUUUGGUGAAUUAAACACUGAGGGAAAUGAAUUGGAGAAUAUUAAAAAAGCCAUGAAUCUAAAUUUUGUAUUCUAAUUAGGUGGAAUUUAUCCUUUUGGCAAAGAAUACGACUUAUCUGCUGUUUGGACUGACUAGUUUUUUUUCUGUUCAACACUGAUCAAUAAAAUCAAUAAAAAUUAUAAAUAUGGUAAGUUGUUAUUGCUCAUUGUCUUGAUAAAUAAAAAUUAACUGAUGUCUGAUGGUAAUUUAUAAAUUAAGUCUCAAUUUAUUCAUCGAAUAAUUCCUGAUGGACUUANNNNNNNNNNUUUAAAAGAAAACAAACCCUAGUUCAAACCAAUUAUUCAUUAAGUCUGUUUUUUCAGUUUUGUUGGGUUUCCUGGUUUCUUAAUUUUCCAUUUAGUGUUUAGGAUCUCAGUGCUGACUUUCUCCUUACAUUUCUUUAGAAGCUUCAUUUUGUAUAGCCAACAUUUAUUUCUAUACUUCAGACCAAACAGAUUCCUUCCAGCGAACGUUUCCACUCCCCUUCCGCUGCCCCCAAACUUCCUU